rnacentral:tRNA from 1 species
UGUCCCAUGGCUUAGUUGGUUACGGCGUCCGACUGUUAUCACUCUCAAUCGGAAGAUCGAGAGUUCAAGUCUCUCUGGGACAG